UACGGAGGGGGCUAGCGUUGUUCGGAAUUACUGGGCGUAAAGCGCGCGCAGGCGGCCUUUCAAGUCAGGGGUGAAAGCCCGGAGCUCAACUCCGGAAUUGCCUUUGAAACUGUAAGACUUGAGUACGAGAGAGGUGAGUGGAAUUCCCAGUGUAGAGGUGAAAUUCGUAGAUAUUGGGAAGAACACCGGUGGCGAAGGCGGCUCACUGGCUCGUAACUGACGCUCAGGCGCGACAGCGUGGGGAUCAAACAGG
rnacentral:rRNA from 1 species